rnacentral:hammerhead_ribozyme from 1 species
GAGCGAAACGCCCCCAGUUUUGGGGGCGUCGUCCGGGCGUUGUGGUCCGGGCCUGAUGAGCAGCUGGAG